AGGUGGUAGAAGAAGAAAAUGAGUCGAACAUAACAAUGAUUUUAAAAAGAGUGUUAAUUAACUAUCUCACCU
rnacentral:sRNA from 1 species